GAUUUCAGCUGAAAAAGUCAUCAACAAUAAAGUUUUAUAACUCAUCAAGAUCUAUAACUUCUAUUUUUGUCAUUUCUUCAUCCGAUAAAGUGAUCAUAACAUAUUCUUAAAAUUUACAUAUCUCUCUUAUAGUUUUAUAAACUAUAAGAGAUAUUGAUAAUGUUACAAAUCACUUUGUCGGAUGAAGAAAUGACCAAAAUAGAAGUUAUAGAUCUUGAUGAGUUAUACAAUUUUGUUGUUGAUGAUUUUUUCAGUUGAAAUC
rnacentral:pre_miRNA from 1 species